CAGACGGGUGAGUAACGCGUGGUCAACCUACCGUUGAGUGGGGGAGUAACUAGCCGAAAGGUUAGCUAAUACCGCAUACGUCUCCGAGGGGCAUCCCUUGGCGAUAAAAGGAGCAAUCCGCUCGAUGACGGGACCGCGUCCCAUUAGCUAGAUGGUGGGGUAACGGCCUACCAUGGCACCGAUGGGUAGCUGGUUUGAGAGAGCGACCAGCCACACUGGGACUGAGAAACGGCCCAG
rnacentral:rRNA from 1 species